rnacentral:miRNA from 1 species
UCUGAGACUUCGGCAUUGGGU